UCUAGUAAUUACUGAUAUUCUUCUUUGUCUUUCAGCUGUUCCUGUUAGGGGUCACCACUGCAGAUCAAUCAUUCCAUCUCACGCUGUCCUCUGAAUCCUCCUCUGUCAUGCCAACCACCUGCAUGUCCUCCCUCAGCACAUCCAUAAACCUCCUCUUUGUCCUCCCUCUUCUCCUCCUGCCUGGUGGCUCCAUCCUCAGCAUCCUUCUCCCUAUAUAUAUAUAUAUACCCUGGGUCCCUCCUCU